UUUUGUAAUUGGAAUGUCUGUCAACUUUGCUAUUACUAUCAGCAUGAAGACAUCAUUCCCUGUAUUUAUGUGUUCUUAAUUGUUACCUUGAUAUGCAUUCACUCAAAAUCUCCACAGGAGAAGCUAUACACAACAUAGAAGCAGCUCUCUAUUAUUGCCACUAAAGCCAGGGAAUUCAAAUGGAAAGCCUCAAGCCUCAUGUAGGCUCAUCUAAGUCCCUUGCAUAGACCCUCUGCCUGUGUGUAGGCAAACAAUAAAACUUCUGCCAGUGAAGAAAAUGGUAAGAA
rnacentral:lncRNA from 1 species